rnacentral:rRNA from 1 species
GACGAACGCUGGCGGCGUGCUUAACACAUGCAAGUCGAACGGAAAGGCCCUGCUUUUGUGGGGUGCUCGAGUGGCGAACGGGUGAGUAACACGUGAGUAACCUGCCCUUGACUUUGGGAUAACUUCAGGAAACUGGGGCUAAUACCGGAUAGGAGCUCCUGCUGCAUGGUGGGGGUUGGAAAGUUUCGGCGGUUGGGGAUGGACUCGCGGCUUAUCAGCUUGUUGGUGGGGUAGUGGCUUACCAAGGCUUUGACGGGUAGCCGGCCUGAGAGGGUGACCGGCCACAUUGGGACUGAGAUACGGCCCAGACUCCUACGGGAGGCAGCAGUGGGGAAUAUUGCACAAUGGGCGGAAGCCUGAUGCAGCAACGCCGCGUGCGGGAUGAAGGCCUUCGGGUUGUAAACCGCUUUCGCCUGUGACGAAGCGUGAGUGACGGUAAUGGGUAAAGAAGCACCGGCUAACUACGU